rnacentral:rRNA from 1 species
GGAAUUUUGGGCAAUGGGCGAAAGCCUGACCCAGCAACGCCGCGUGAAGGAUGAAAUCCCUCGGGAUGUAAACUUCGCAAGAACGGGAAGAAUAAGUCGGUGUUAACACCACCGGCGAUGACGGUACUGUUUGUAAGCUCCGGCUACCUCCGUGCCAGCAGCCGCGGUAAUACGGGGGGAGCAAGCGUUGUUCGGAUUUACUGGGCGUAAAGGGCGCGUAGGCGGCCACUGCAAGUCGACUGUGAAAUCUCCGGGCUUAACUCGGAAAGGUCAGCCGAUACUGCGGGGCUAGAGUGCAGAAGGGGCAACUGGAAUUCUCGGUGUAGCGGUGAAAUGCGUAGAUAUCGAGAGGAACACCUGCGGCGAAGGCGGCUUGCUGGACAGACACUGACGCUGAGGCGCGAAAGCCAGGGGAGCAA